rnacentral:lncRNA from 1 species
AAAACCACUAAAUCACCAAAAACAUAAUAAAACAUCAAUAUAAACUCAUAGAUUAUGUAAAAGAAAACUGUUAUCCCAUUUGAAUAUUUUAAGAAACAAACCAAAGUUUUUUCGAAUAAAUGUUGAAAUGGGUAUAAAAGAACACACCUUACCACCAAGACAAAUAAAUUUCAUAUCAACUUAUCUCUUUCUUAUCUCUUUCUUUUCGACUCUAACUCGCACAAUACAAUGAUAGGAGAUUCCUUAAUCGGUCAAAUUUAUUACAUAUUGAUUGAAAUUGGACCUUUGGAGUGCUUUUGCGGUUUAUCCCAAUAGGUUUCGUUUAUUAAUUGCAUUUAAGAACCGAACUUAUUAUUGUAUUAUUAUAAUUAAUUGUGAUUAUAUUCUCAUUUAAUUAUUUUUUUAUUUUUUAAUAUUAAUGUAGAAAGACUAUUUCACCCCUUACUAACAUCAUUAAGUUGUUGUACCAUAAGUAUAAAAGAUUGUAAUUACUUAAAUUUGGUUGGUAUCCUUAUGAAAUGCUUUAUAAUAUAGUAUAGAUAGAUAGAUAGAUAUAGAUAUAGAUAAUUAUUUUUUUUAUUUUUUAAUAUUAAUGUA